rnacentral:rRNA from 1 species
UACGUAGGGUGCAAGCGUUGUCCGGAAUUAUUGGGCGUAAAGAGCUCGUAGGCGGUUUGUUGCGUCGGCUGUGAAAUCCAGAGGCUCAAGCCUCGGGUCUGCAGUCGAUACGAGCAAACUAGAGUGUUGCAGGGGGAGACUGGAAUUCCUGGUGUAGCGGUGAAAUGCGUAGAUAUCGGGGAGGAACACCAGUGGCGAAGGCGGCUACCUGGCCUGUUCUUGACGCUGAGGCGGCGAAAGCUAGGGGAGCAAACGGGG